AUUGAACGUUGGCGGCAGGCCUAACACAUGCAAGUCGAGUGGAUGAAGGGAGCUUGCUCCUGGAUUCAGCGGCGGACGGGUGAGUAAUGCCUAGGAAUCUGCCUGGUAGUGGGGGAUAACGUCCGGAAACGGGCGCUAAUACCGCAUACGUCCUGAGGGAGAAAGUGGGGGAUCUUCGGACCUCACGCUAUCAGAUGAGCCUAGGUCGGAUUAGCUAGUUGGUGGGGUAAAGGCCUACCAAGGCGACGAUCCGUAACUGGUCUGAGAGGAUGAUCAGUCACACUGGAACUGAGACACGGUCCAGACUCCUAAGGGAGGCAGCAGUGGGGAAUAUUGGACAAUGGGCGAAAGCCUGAUACAGCCAUGCCGCGUGUGUGAAGAAGGUCUUCGGAUUGUAAAGCACUUUAAGUUGGGAGGAAGGGCAGUAAGUUAAUACCUUGCUGUUUUGACGUUACCAACAGAAUAAGCACCGGCUAACUUCGUG
rnacentral:rRNA from 1 species